GAUGAACGCUGGCGGCGUGCCUAAUACAUGCAAGUCGAGCAAACAGACGAGGAGCUUGCUCCUCUGACGUUAGCGGCGGACGGGUGAGUAACACGUGGAUAACCUACCUAUAAGACUGGGAUAACUUCGGGAAACCGGAGCUAAUACCGGAUAAUAUAUUGAACCGCAUGGUUCAAUAGUGAAAGACGGUUUUGCUGUCACUUAUAGAUGGAUCCGCGCCGCAUUAGCUAGUUGGUAAGGUAACGGCUUACCAAGGCGACGAUGCGUAGCCGACCUGAGAGGGUGAUCGGCCACACUGGAACUGAGACACGGUCCAGACUCCUACGGGAGGCAGCAGUAGGGAAUCUUCCGCAAUGGGCGAAAGCUUGACGGAGCAACGCCGCGUGAGUGAUGAAGGUCUUCGGAUCGUAAAACUCUGUUAUUAGGGAAGAACAAAUGUGUAAGUAACUAUGCACGUCUUGACGGUACCUAAUCAGAAAGCCACGGCUAACUACGUG
rnacentral:rRNA from 1 species